rnacentral:rRNA from 1 species
ACGCUCGACACCUACGGGAGGCAGCAGUGAGGAAUAUUGGUCAAUGGGCGCUAGCCUGAACCAGCCAAGUAGCGUGAAGGAUGAAGGCUCUAUGGGUCGUAAACUUCUUUUAUAUAAGAAUAAAGUGCAGUAUGUAUACUGUUUUGUAUGUAUUAUAUGAAUAAGGAUCGGCUAACUCCGUGCUAGCAGCCGGGUAAUCUGAGCGGGCUGGCAAGGC